rnacentral:rRNA from 1 species
UACAGAGGGUGCGAGCGUUAAUCGGAUUUACUGGGCGUAAAGGGCGCGUAGGCGGUUAUGUGAGUGUGAUGUGAAAGCCCCGGGCUUAACCUGGGAAGUGCAUCGCAAACGACAUAACUGGAGUAGGUGAGAGGGUGGCGGAAUUUCCGGUGUAGCGGCGAAAUGCGUAGAGAUCGGAAGGAACGUCAAUGGCGAAGGCAGCCACCUGGCACCAUACUGACGCUGAGGCGCGAAAGCGUGGGGAGCGAACAGG